CCUACGGGGGGCAGCAGUCGGGAAUAUUGCGCAAUGGAGGAAACUCUGACGCAGUGACGCCGCGUAUAGGAAGAAGGUUUUCGGAUUGUAAACUAUUGUCGUUAGGGAAGAUAAAAGACUGUACCUAAGGAGGAAGCCCCGGCUAACUAUGUGCCAGCAGCCGCGGUAAUACAUAGGGGGCAAGCGUUAUCCGGAAUUAUUGGGUGUAAAGGGUGCGUAGACGGAAGAACAAGUUGGUUGUGAAAUCCCUCGGCUCAACUGAGGAACUGCAACCAAAACUAUUCUCCUUGAGUGUCGGAGAGGAA
rnacentral:rRNA from 1 species